AGCUUUGCAUAGUGGCAGUAUUGUAGUCAAUGAGGUUUAUCUGUGGCAUGAUUAUUGCUAAUUGAAAAUUUUUCAAUACCUCACCAUGACUACUUGAAAUAUAGUUGGCACUGGAAAAUUUUGCCAGUCUCUACAGAGC
ensembl:snRNA U4 U4 spliceosomal RNA